GAUGAACGCUGGCGGCGUGCCUAAUACAUGCAAGUCGAGCGAACAGACGAGGAGCUUGCUCCUCUGACGUUAGCGGCGGACGGGUGAGUAACACGUGGAUAACCUACCUAUAAGACUGGGAUAACUUCGGGAAACCGGAGCUAAUACCGGAUAAUAUAUUGAACCGCAUGGUUCAAUAGUGAAAGACGGUUUUGCUGUCACUUAUAGAUGGAUCCGCGCCGCAUUAGCUAGUUGGUAAGGUAACGGCUUACCAAGGCAACGAUGCGUAGCCGACCUGAGAGGGUGAUCCGCCACCCUGGGACUUAGACACGGUCCAGACUCCCACGGGAGGCCGCAGUAGGGAAUCUUCCGCAAUGGGCGAAAGCUUGACGGAGCAACGCCGCGUGAGUGAUGAAGGUCUUCGGAUCGUAAAACUCUGUUAUUAGGGAAGAACAAAUGUGUAAGUAACUAUGCACGUCUUGACGGUACCUAAUCAGAAAGCCACGGCUAACUACGUG
rnacentral:rRNA from 1 species